rnacentral:tRNA from 1 species
AAAGAGGCCAAAAGCAACAAGAACUGCUAAUUCUUGCCCCCGCAGUUAAACUCCG